rnacentral:rRNA from 1 species
UGGCGGACGGGUGAGUAACGCGUAGGAACCUGACGCGCAGUGGGGGAUAACGCUGGGAAACCGGCGCUAAUACCGCAUGUGGUCGCAAGAAGAAAGCAGCAAUGCGCUGUGUGAGGGGCCUGCGUCCGAUUAGCUGGUUGGUGGGGUAACGGCCUACCAAGGCGACGAUCGGUAGCUGGUCUGAGAGGAUGGUCAGCCACACUGGGACUGAGACACGGCCCAG